CCUCUGACUCGUGACUUGACUUGGACUUUGAUAUACAUAACUUGUGACUUGACUCGGACUUUAGCCCUCUGACUCGGAAAGACUUGCCAUUUUCCCCCCAAAUCCACGGAUUAUAAAGUAUAAAGUAUAAAGAGAGAAAGCCGCGCGCACUGCGGUCUCUCUAUCCGUCUUAUUUACAUCCGUCUGCGGUGUCGGCCCAACAUCCAAUCAAAUUAGAGCCACGUUUGAUUGAUGUGACAGUCAGACCAAUCAAAUUGCAGAAAAACAUAGUCCCGCCUCCCCUUUAAAAGCACGAGUUCCUGUUUGCCGGUGUUUUUAGUUGUGGCAUAAAAGUUUUGAGAUCGUCAACAACAAACGGUUUGCAGUUCGGAGAACAUGUGGAUUUAAGGAUUACUCACAGAGAUUCAACAUCAACUAACUUCAUCUGACUGUAGGAGCAGCAAAAUCAAGAGCCGUUUCUGUUUGGAUCCACUCUUUACCCCGGCAGCCUGAAAAACCUGGUGGGAUGGAUUUCCUGGAGGAGACUGAAGUGGCUAAACCAAGUUAAAAAUUGCAAACUGCAGGUGGAGAUGGAGGACGGCGAGGAGGUCCCACAGAUGCUCCACCUAUAUCCACCUCGACGGCUUCCUGCUUGAUGGUUAUCCUGGUGGAAUCCAGCUCAGGGGAAAUUUGAGGAGAGGCACAGGAGUUAUCCGGAGGUUCUUCUUUAACUUUUAGAAAAACCCGAGGCUCCGGGGCUCCUCUGCUUUCAAGCUCCAGCUGCAUCCUCAGCACCUCCACCAGCUUCUGCUUCUGCUUCAGCAUCCUGGUGAGCUCUGCAAUCUGCUUGUCCUUCUCCUGCAGCAUUCUGUCUUUGUCUGCCGUCACCAGAGGGGCUGCGGCCGAAGUCGCAGGGGACGCAGGCAAGCGGUGUUUCUGCAGAGACACAGACUUUAAGGAGAACUGACAAGGUGUUCUGGUGCUACAAGGGGGCUCUUUCUUAAUGUUGGCAGGACGUCGAGCCACCGAAGACGGCUGAAGGUUGAACUCAGUGGGAGAGCAACUCUGGAGAGACAGAAAAAAAGACAUUUUUAACAUGACAUUUUGGUCUUUCCUCUGCAUGUUUUUUUCAACUUUUACUUAGAUUUUUGCAGCCUUUUAAUAAUAAAUGUUACUAAAUAGUUGCAUUUAUAUUACAUAACUGGGCUUUUGUCAUUCAGUUAUGCUCUCAGCCUCAAGAACUUAAACAUGCAUUAUGCAAAUCUCAUCAAAAUUCAAUUUUCUUUAAGAAUAUAAUAUGGUUGCAAAAUACAGAUGAAGAUUUAUUAGCCAAAAAAUGUACUUAGGAAUAGAAAUAGAUUAUUUUUAGGUACAUGUUAAAAAUUAGACAUCAAAAUAACAAGUAAUGUCAGAAAACAAAAGGGAACUUAAGGUGAAACUGUGCAAAUACAGUGUAACAGAAAACAGUCAAAACAAUAAGUAAGUAGAACUUUUGGAAAAUAAAAGGGUAUUUAUUUACUAGGGAUGCUACAAUUCUCUGUUCAAAACUGAACUCUAUGUUUACACCAUUGCAUAGAAUUUUAGGGAAAGUGAAUUGUUGCAUUCUUCUGCAUGCAUAAUAUUUAUGUUAAAAGUGUCAAACACGUGUGUUGUGCUAAAUUUAAUACAUUUAAUUGUGUUUUAUUACAUUACAUCAGAGAUAGUAUUAGCGAACUAAAAUGACUUUCUUAGCUGUUUCUUGAUUAUUAGCAAAAAAAUAAUUUUCCAGAUUUUUUUUUUUGUUUUUUGUUCUUAUCCAAAAAUCGAGGUUUCAAACUGAAUCGAAGGGAAAGUAAAUCAUUGCAUCCCUGGUGUCUCAACCAACAUUAAAUAAAUACUGUUUUUUUGUUUA